GAUUGAACGCUGGCGGCAGGCCUAACACAUGCAAGUCGAGCGGCAGCGGAAAGUAGCUUGCUACUUUGCCGGCGAGCGGCGGACGGGUGAGUAAUGUCUGGGAAACUGCCUGAUGGAGGGGGAUAACUACUGGAAACGGUAGCUAAUACCGCAUGACCUCGAAAGAGCAAAGUGGGGGAUCUUCGGACCUCACGCCAUCGGAUGUGCCCAGAUGGGAUUAGCUAGUAGGUGAGGUAAUGGCUCACCUAGGCGACGAUCCCUAGCUGGUCUGAGAGGAUGACCAGCCACACUGGAACUGAGACACGGUCCAGACUCCUACGGGAGGCAGCAGUGGGGAAUAUUGCACAAUGGGCGCAAGCCUGAUGCAGCCAUGCCGCGUGUGUGAAGAAGG
rnacentral:rRNA from 1 species